rnacentral:rRNA from 1 species
GACGAACGCUGGCGGCGUGCCUAAUACAUGCAAGUUGAGCGCUGAAGGUUGGUACUUGUACCAACUGGAUGAGCAGCGAACGGGUGAGUAACGCGUGGGGAAUCUGCCUUUGAGCGGGGGACAACAUUUGGAAACGAAUGCUAAUACCGCAUAAAAACUUUAAACACAAGUUUUAAGUUUGAAAGAUGCAAUUGCAUCACCCAAAGAUGAUCCCGCGUUGUAUUAGCUAGUUGGUGAGGUAAAGGCUCACCAAGGCGAUGAUACAUAGCCGACCUGAGAGGGUGAUCGGCCACAUUGGGACUGAGACACGGCCCAAACUCCUACGGGAGGCAGCAGUAGGGAAUCCUCGGCAAUGGACGAAAGUCUGACCGAGCAACGCCGCGUGAGUGAAGAAGGUUUUCGGAUCGUAAAACUCUGUUGGUAGAGAAGAACGUUGGUGAGAGUGGAAAGCUCAUCAAGUGACGGUAACUACCCAGAAAGGGACGGCUAACUACGUG